CCUACGGGCGGCAGCAGUGAGGAAUAUUGGUCAAUGGGCGCGAGCCUGAACCAGCCAAGUAGCGUGAAGGAUGACUGCCCUACGGGUUGUAAACUUCUUUUAUAAAGGAAUAAAGUGAGGCACGUGUGCCUUUUUGUAUGUACUUUAUGAAUAAGGAACGGCUAACUCCGUGCCAGCAGCCGCGGUAAUACGGAGGAUCCGAGCGUUAUCCGGAUUUAUUGGGUUUAAAGGGAGCGUAGAUGGGUUGUUAAGUCAGUUGUGAAAGUUUGCGGCUCAACCGUAAAAUUGCAAUUGAUACUGGCAGUCUUGAGUACAGUUGAGGUAGGCGGAAGGCGUGGUGUAGCGGUGAAAUGCAUAGAUAUCACGCAGAACUCCGAUUGCGAAGGCAGCAUACCGGCGCCCGACUGACGCUGAGGCACGAAAGCGUGGGGAUCGAACAGGAUUAGAUAUCCUAGUAGUC
rnacentral:rRNA from 1 species